rnacentral:tRNA from 1 species
GGCCGUAGCUCAGCCGGGAGAGCGCCGCCCUUGCACGGCGGAGGUCAGGGGUUCGAUCCCCCUCGGCUCCA